UCCGAAAUAGCUCAGUUGGGAGCGUGUUAGACUGACGAUCUAAAGGUCCCUGGUUCGAUCACGGGAUUCGGCA
rnacentral:tRNA from 1 species